GGGCGGAUUCCUGGUCGCUUUUGUUCCCGCAGAUCAGCGCGCAGUAUUGUUUGAGGUGAAAGCCGGGCGUCCGACCUUCCCGCUUGACUCCCGGGCGUCGCCGUAGGGAGGAAGAGAGUAUCUCCGAAAAGCUGCUGGAGCGGGGGCUCCGGAGACCCGAGCCGUGACGCGGUUUUCCCUCAGCGAGGCUGUGUGACCUUGGCCGAGUCGCUUGGCCUCUCUGAGCCCCGGGCGCCUCCUUGGAAACCGAGGGUAACCCUCACCGCCCCGGGGAGCGGGAGGGGGCUCGCGAGAAGGUCGCGAGCUCGCAGAUGGCCUGCGCCCGCCCUGGCGAGCCGGCCGGCCCGCCUUGGGGUGACAAGGGAGCAGCUCUCUCCGCAGACCUCGCCAGAUGCGGCCAUUGUUAAGUCAGCCGGCUGCCAGCGCGCGAGGACCCCGGGGCACGAGCAAUGCCCCCUCCCCUCCUGGCCUGUGCGCGGCCCCGACCGCAGGUGGAGGGGAGGCGGGGGCACCCGACCCCCGUGAGUCCUACAGCGGCAGGCCCGGCCCCGCAGCAGUGGUCCGUUCUCCCUGCCCUUCCCCCCUGGGUGCCGUCUUUUGACUUCUGGCGACCUACGACUCAUCUGUGCGUGCCAGGCUCUGAGGCCCUGCCCUGCCCGCCCCGUGGAGCCUACACCCUGGUUCUGGGCAGCACACAAGAGCAAGGCACUUGAAUAAACGCAUGCAUUUCUGCAGGACGUGGUCCAAGGUGCUGGAAACUUCCUAGCAAGACAUUCGCCAGCCUUGGGACCUCAAGGCUGAACAGACUUUGCAGAGCCACUCUAGGGAGAGAAGGAAAAUGUGCUUCCCACUCCCUGACCCCUCUCCACGCCUUGGGCAAAAUUUCCCAGAGCCACCACGGUGUUCUUGGUCAGUGAAGGGAGGAGCAGGCAGUUGAAAAUCCACAUAGGCAGGAGGGGUGAGGCUGGUCCCCGUUGGGUCUCCCUGCCUCACUUCCCGGGUACAGUCUACUGUCUACAAGUAACCACAUCAAUCCUUGUUCACUCUGACCUCACCUUUUCAAGUCAUUCCAGGGAAGUAGCCACAUUCCAAAAGCUACCAUAGGAGAAAGUAAAAUAAUAUGGAAAUCAGGGCAAGUCAACACGUUUGCCUCCUAUUGGUUAAUUAGGUUCCUUGGAGCAGAAAGAUCUUGGGACCUUAUGGCGCUGAGGUUCCUCCAGGGCAGCCCCACCAGGGUGUGAAACCUCCAAGCUGUGGUGUCAAGCUGACCUUCGUUCCAGUCCCAGCUCUGGCCAGCUCUGUGACCUUGGCCCUUCACCCAACCAUUCCAAGCCUCAGUUUCCUCAUCUAUAAAAGGAAACCCGCAAUCCUACUCCCGGCAGCUAGCAGAGAUGCUAACCGGCCCUGGACAGCUGGGGAAAUUGAACCACAAGUAACGAUCGAGGUCCCCCAGCUCCUGACUGCCUUCUUGUCCCUUUUUUGCUCUGCCGUUUGCUAUUUAACGUGUGUACUGGACAGCUUAUGGAUUAGGGUGUCCUUGUAAUAGAAAAGAACAAGCAGAGACUCCCGGUGGAGAAGGCCAUGUGAAGACAGAAGCAGAGAUUUGGAGCCAGGGGUCGCCUGGAGUCACCAGGAGCUAGAAGAGGCAGGAAAGAUCUUCCCCUGCAGUCUCUGGAGGGAGUGUAGCCAUGGGACACCUUGACUUCGGACUUCUGACUGCGGGAGAACACUUCCAUCGUGUUAAGCCCGCAGUUGUUUGCUGUGGCCACUCCAGGACAGUCUUACAAGUCUCAUUUCCCCUCAUCCGUACUCCAGCUCAGUUUAAUCCAGCUCAGUGGAUAAUAAACCACUACCCUGCGGGAGCACACCCCACAAAGGGUUUGGGGGCCUCCAAGAAGAAUGACACCCAGCUCCUCGACUUUAAGGAACAGACGCCUGGACUCCUGUUCUGGAAGCCGAUGGCCGCCCAUCUGUGGGAGCUUUCUCUCAGCACACGGUUCCCUUCCCCAGGAAACAGCCAGGAGCCUCCUGGAGGCUACAGUGGACGGUGACCUGCCAGUCCCUCUGAAUGCUAGAAAUGCUGUCUCUCGGGGCUGGCCAUGCGGCUGUGGUUUUCUCAGCCAGCUGCUGCCCAGGGCUCCUUCCCUAAAACAGCCUCCAGCCCCAAGCUGUUUGGAGCUGGUCCCUUUCCCUGACUUCAGAUGGAAAGGUCAUCGUGGGCCCAGGGCCAUGCAAGUUUGUACGCGUUGGAACCAGAUUCUGACCUGAGUCAGUUGCCCAGGAUCUGCCCCUCCCGGAGGAAAGCAUAAAGGAGCAGUCUACUCUCCACAAAAAUAGGGCUGUUCUCCACAUUUUGCGAUCUCUUCUUUCCACUUAACAACAUAUCCCAGAUGUCUUCGCCUGUCACGGACUCUCUUCCAAGUCCUGGUUUUCAAGGGCAGCCCAGAAUCCCUUUGUUUGGGCGUACCGCAAAAUGUUCUACUAAUCCCCUAUUGCUGGCCAUUCAGAUUAUUUCUGUUCUGCUGGCUGAGUUUCAGAAGGCAGUUCUGCUUAUCCUGGACCUUGCACCAGGCUGAAACCCGACCUGCCUCCUCCAGAUCCCCCAUGCGUUUCCGAGAAGUGCGAGCAGGGCUAAAGCGGAGGAGCUGGAUUGCUUCCCACUGCCAUCCCAAUCAAGGCUUCACCGCCUGGCUUGAAGUCUCAAGAUACAGAACACACCCAGACUCAAGUCGGGGUGAAAAACACAUUUCAAAGGCAGGGACAGCUUUCCACGUGGACCUCUGUACGGAACUCUCAGAACCAUUCCUGGCUGUGAAAUACGGGACCUACCAGGGCCAGUGGGCCGGCGGCAUGCGCCAGGGCUACGGUGUGCGGCAGAGCGUCCCCUACGGCAUGGCGGCCGUCAUCCGCUCGCCCCUGAGGACGUCCAUCAACUCCCUGCGCAGCGAGCACACCAACGGCGCCGCGCUGCACCCCGACGCGUCCCCGGCGGCGGCCGGCAGCCCGGCCGUGUCCCGAGGGGGCUUCGUGCUCGUGGCGCACAGCGACUCCGACAGCCUCAAGAGCAAGAAGAAGGGGCUGUUCCGGCGCUCGCUGCUGAGCGGCCUGAAGCUGCGCAAGUCCGAGUCCAAGAGCAGCCUGGCCAGCCAGCGCAGCAAGCAGAGCUCGUUCCGCAGCGAGGCCGGCAUGAGCACCGUCAGCUCCACCGCCAGCGACAUCCACUCCACCAUCAGCCUGGGCGAGGGCGAGGCCGAGCUGGCGGUCAUCGAGGACGACAUCGACGCCACCACCACCGAGACCUACGUGGGCGAGUGGAAGAGCGACAAGCGCUCGGGCUUCGGGGUGAGCCAGCGCUCGGACGGGCUCAAGUACGAGGGCGAGUGGGCCGGCAACCGGCGGCACGGCUACGGCUGCAUGACGUUCCCCGACGGCACCAAGGAGGAGGGCAAGUACAAGCAGAACGUCCUCGUGAGCGGCAAGCGCAAGAACCUCAUCCCGCUGCGCGCCAGCAAGAUCCGCGAGAAGGUGGACCGGGCCGUGGAGGCCGCCGAGCGGGCCGCCACCAUCGCCAAGCAGAAGGCGGAGAUCGCGGCCUCCAGGACGUCGCACUCCCGGGCCAAGGCUGAGGCCGCCCUCACCGCAGCGCAGAAGGCCCAGGAGGAGGCGCGCGUCGCCAGGAUCACUGCCAAAGAGUUCUCCCCUUCCUUCCAGCACCGGGAAAACGGGCUCGAGUACCAGCGGCCGAAGCACCCGAUUUCCAGCAGUGACAUCGAGGUGGCCUCCACGGGGACGCCCCUGCAGCAGGAGAGCCCCGAGCUGUACCGCAAAGGCACCACCCCCUCGGACCUGACCCCCGACGACAGCCCCCUGCAGAGCUUCCCCGCCAGCCCCACGGCCACCCCGCCCCCGGCCCCUGCCUCACGGAACAAGGUUGCCCACUUCUCCCGGCAGGUCUCUGUGGACGAGGAGCGAGGCGGGGACAUCCAGAUGCUCCUGGAGGGCCGGGGAGGGGACUAUGCCCGCAACAGCUGGGGCGAGGAGAAGGCCGGCGGCUCCAGGGGCGUCCGCGGCGGCGCCCUCCGCAGCGGUCAGCCCGCAGACGACUUCCGCUCCCGGAGCUCGGGCCACAGGCAGCCCGGCAACCCCAAGUCCCGGGAGCGGCGGACGGAGUCGCCCCCCACCUUCUCCUGGACUUCCCACCACCGGACCGGCAACCCCGGCUCGGCGGGCGCCAAGCUGCUGGAGCUGGAGGAGGAGAAGUUGAGCAACUACGAGACGGAGAUGAAACCGCUGCGGCGGAUGGACUCGUGCGCGCAGGAGGCGCACCCCCAGAAGAGGCGCUCCAGCAGGGGGGGCGCCUGCCGGGGCCUGGGCGAGGACCACCGCCCCGAGGAGCGGGGCUUCGGGGCGCAGAGGCUGCGGUCCAAGCCCCAGAGCAAGGACGGCGCCAGGCCGGCCUCGUGCAUGGAGCCCGCGGUGCAGAGGCUGGAGAGCCUGCGGCUGGGAGAGCGGGCUGAGCCGCGGCUGCUGCGCUGGGACCUGGCCUUCUCCCCGCCCCAGAAGUCCUCCCCGGUAGCGCUGGAGUCGGACGGAGAGGACGGGGACGAGCUCAAACCCAGCACGGGCUCGGCCCCCAUCCUGGUGGCCAUGGUGAUCUUGCUCAACAUCGGAGUCGCCAUCUUGUUUAUUAACUUUUUCAUCUGAGGAAUCGUCGCGUGAGCAAAAACAGCGGUCGACGUACAAAAGGGGGACGUUAAAAAAAACAAAAAACAAAAAAAACGACAGAGAGGAAAGGAUGGGAACUCAGACGGCCGGACGACCACUUCUGAGACUUUUCACGGAACAAUGUGAUUGGAAGGAGGCCAGCACGCCGACCCUCCAGCUUGGUGUGGAAGGAAAGGGACCCGGCACAUCAACGGCCAAAAAACAAAACGGUCACCGUCCUCGCCGCCAUCACACCCCAUCUGGGACUGGAAAAGGAGGCGGCCGGAGGAAGACCCCAGCGCGUCCAGCUGUGCUGUGAGGCUGAAUGCGGGAAGUCUGUUACCUGCGCCGCUCCCCCGGGUCCUGGAA